GACGAACGCUGGCGGCGUGCCUAACACAUGCAAGUCGAACGGAGCACUUCGGUGCUUAGUGGCGAACGGGUGAGUAACGCGUGAGCAACCUACCUUUCAGUGGGGGACAACAGUUGGAAACGACUGCUAAUACCGCAUGAUGUCAUCGGGGGACAUCCUCUGGUGACCAAAGCUUUAUGUGCUGAAAGAUGGGCUCGCGUCUGAUUAGCUAGAUGGCGGGGUAACGGCCCACCAUGGCGACGAUCAGUAGCCGGUCUGAGAGGAUGAACGGCCACAUUGGGACUGAGAUACGGCCCAGACUCCUACGGGAGGCAGCAGUGGGGAAUAUUGGGCAAUGGGGGAAACCCUGACCCAGCAACGCCGCGUGAAGGAGAAGGCCCUCGGGUUGUAAACUUCUUUACCUAGGACGAAGAAAGUGACGGUACCUGGAGAAAAAGCAACGGCUAACUACGUAG
rnacentral:rRNA from 1 species